UUGUGUUAAUUUGUACUUAUUAAUGAACUUUGCAUAUGCAUUGCAGUAAGCUACAAAUAUGAUAGAGUAGAAAAAUAGUUGGAGUAAAAAAAACGCGCUCAUGGCUGGGAUAUUGGAGUCAAAUAAAUUAAGUUAAGAUGUUUGUAUGUUGUAUGUAUAUCUUGUUUUGUCAGCAAUACUUAAAGGUGUAUAAUUAAUCUCCUAACGAAGUGCACAAAUAACCGGGCUAUAUAUAGAUUGAGAUUUAACCAAACAUGUAAGACAUAUUAGAGCCAGAUAAGAUAAGUGUGUGGAGGAAGGAGUAUGAAAAGUAAAAAAUACAUACCAUUUUUAUCCUUAUUGUGGCUAGAGUUGGGGUUGAGAUCAGUGUUGGUGAACGCCUCGCCAGUCUUCUUGCCGGCAAUGAUAACGAUGGACACGUUGGACUCGCCGUACUCCUACUCGGCGAGGCUGAGGAGGUCAAAGGGUUUAGACAUCGCUAAAGCGGCGGGUAGUGACUGCAGUGUCGCCGCUGAGCUAUUAGUUUUAGAUAUAUUGUGUUGUGUUAAUUUGUACUUAUUAAUGAACUUUACAUAUGCAUUGCGGUAAGCUAUACAUAUAUAUAUAGAUAUGAUAGGGUACAAAAAUAGUUGGAGUAGAUAUCUUAUGUAUGUCAUAACAAACUUUAUGUAAUCAUUAUUAUGUAUGUCAUAAAUAUCUAAAAUUGGCAUGAGUGAAAUUAAUUAUGUACCG
rnacentral:lncRNA from 1 species